AGAUUAAAUGUUAAAAAUCCUCUCCCUACAUAUUUAACUAAAGUACUUCCUUUACCUCUACUCUUGAACAUUUCUUCUGCAUCUGCCUCUGACCACGUGCUAUGAUGGGUGGGACGCAGUCUCUGUGCUCAGGGCGCACACAGCAUGUGGUAGAGACAGGUUGGCAGCGACUGACAAUACGGGGUGACACCUGCAUUGCUACAAAUGCAGCAAGACGGUUCUCCAUACUUCCGUGGCGGGAAGCGCAGUGGAGCUGGCUGGAGGAUGUGAUGUUGAUCUUGUGUUUUCAGAGAUUGUGCCUGAGCCUGCUGCGUGCCCCAUGAAGGGCAAUGAAGAAUAUGGUCUGUGCCUUCCCGGGACUCAUCUGUCCCCACACCAGCACUGACCUGGCACUGCUGUUUAAAGGGCACUGUGCCUGCAGACCCGGAGGAUGACGGCCACGCCUGGUAUCUCAGUGGGACGCCGAUGGACCGGAGUGACCUUGGGCAGGUCACCUGGCCCUGUGGGUUUCCUCUCUUCCUCUGAGAAAGCAGGGGCUGUUGGGGCAGAUGACAGAGCUCACAGGUGUUGUGACUAGGGAUCCGUGACAAUCUGGAACAGACCUGUGCUCAGCAAACUGGCCCGGACUGUCCCCACCCCACGCCAUGGCGCCCACCCCACCCUCUCGUCCUUGGCCCCCACGACACACAUCAACCGGAACGCUCGGGCCUCCCCACCUCCCUGAGCAACCUGCCUGCUGAAACCUGGGAAGACCUGGUCUCAGUUACGUCCUUAGGCAACAGCCCCGCCCGCCCCCACGCUGCAUCGCUGGUGCUUUAAGAAACACAAUAUUGCCAGAAUGGAUUAUGCAGCAAAUGAUUCCCGGGAACUGAACGGACCAGUCUGGUGAGCAGCCCCGAGCACCUUCUAUAAGGCCCUGGCCUCGCCCUCCUGCUCCCCCGUCCAAGGAAGGAUGGCAAGCGGGAGUCAGGUUAGGUCACGGGACGAACCAGCUGAAGCUGCCUGGGACCGCUCGAGCGUGUCCAUCCCUGGCCCCGCGCACUGGGCCUUAAUAACUCAAUAAUAACCGGCUUCUAGAGCACACAAAGGCUUUUGGAAAGCUGGACAUAAAGGCCACUUUGUCCUGCUCCUGCCGUUCCAGCAGACAUCCAUAGGUGUUCCCACACAGGCUGGCCGCUGGGCUGCUGCCUCCCCCUCCCCGCGCACUGAGGGGAGCUACAGAUGGCUGAGAAGGAGAGCCACGGCCUGAAAAUCGACUCUGAGGAGAAAGCAGAAGAGACAUGGCCGUCCUGGGAAGCUGGGUGUGCUUUCUGCCAGGCCCUUCUCUUCUCCAGACUGCCGGCCCCUGCAGGGAGCCGCAUCCACUCCAUCAAAAAGUCAUCGCGGGCCCAGCGCGGCUCUCACGUUCUCUCAGCCAGAUGCUCCCCAUACGUGCGCAGGCCGUCGCUGGGGGACUGGGACCGGCAGGCUUCAGCGCUGGGAAGCGGGCGUCCUCCAAGCCCGUCAUGGCUUUUCGAAUCCCAUAUGGAGGGUGUCUCCCUCCUUUUCCAAACCUGCUGUGGUUUCCUGUCGCCUAUGGGGUCAAGUCUCCGUCUGGAUCCUGUCAUUCAAAGUUGACUUUCAGGUUGCAAGGAACGGCAUUCAACCACCAGGAAAAGAAGGUUGAGGAGUGGCUGUAAGGCUGCACAUGGA